ACAGGAUUCCCCUAGUAUCUGCGAGUGAAGCGGGAAAAGCUCAAAUUUAAAAUCUGGCGGCCUCCGGCCGUCCGAGUUGUAAUCUAGAGAAGUGAUGCCCGCGCUGGACCGUGUACAAGUCUCCUGGGAUGGAGCGUCAUAGAGGGUGAGAAUCCCGUCUCUGACACGGACUACCAGAGCUUUGUGGUACGCUCUCAAAGAGUCGAGUUGUUUGGGAAUGCAGCUCAAAAUGGGUGGUAAAUUCCAUCUAAAGCUAAAUAUUGGCGAGAGACCGAUAGCGAACAAGUACCGUGAGGGAAAGAUGAAAAGAACUUUGGAAAGAGAGUUAAACAGUACGUGAAAUUGCUGAAAGGGAAACGCUUGAAGUCAGUCGCGUUGGCCGGGGAUCAGCCUCGCUUUUCGCGUGGUGUACUUUCCGGUUGACGGGUCAGCAUCAAUUUUGACUGCUGGAAAAAGGCCUGAGGAAUGUAGCAGCUUCGGCUGUGUUAUAGCUUCUUGUCACAUACAGCGGUCGGGAUUGAGGAACUCAGCACGCCGCAAGGCCGGGUUUCGACCACGUUCGUGCUUAGGAUGCUGGCAUAAUGGCUUUAAGCGACCCGUCUUGAAACACGGACCAAGGAGUCUAACAUGCCUGCGAGUGUUUGGGUGGAAAACCCGAGCGCGUAAUGAAAGUGAAAGUUGAGAUCCCUGUCGUGGGGAGCAUCGACGCCCGGACCAG
rnacentral:rRNA from 1 species